rnacentral:rRNA from 1 species
AUUGAACGCUGGCGGCAGGCCUAACACAUGCAAGUCGAGCGGAUGAAGGGAGCUUGCUCCUGGAUUCAGCGGCGGACGGGUGAGUAAUGCCUAGGAAUCUGCCUGGUAGUGGGGGAUAACGUCCGGAAACGGGCGCUAAUACCGCAUACGUCCUGAGGGAGAAAGUGGGGGAUCUUCGGACCUCACGCUAUCAGAUGAGCCUAGGUCGGAUUAGCUAGUUGGUGGGGUAAAGGCCUACCAAGGCGGAGAUCCGUAACUGGUCUGAGAGGAUGAUCAGUCAGACUGGAAGUGAGAAAGGGCCCAGACUCCUACGGGAGGCAGCAGUGGGGAAUAUUGGACAAUGGGCGAAAGCCUGAUCCAGCCAAGCCGCGUGUGUGAAGAAGGUCUUCGGAUUGUAAAGCACUUUAAGUUGGGAGGAAGGGCAGUAAGUUAAUACCUUGCUGUUUUGACGUUACCAACAGAAUAAGCACCGGCUAACUUCGUG